ACAAAAAUAAAAAAUAAGUUCCCAACUCGUUAUUUCCUCUCAGACCCCCUCUCCAUCUCGCACGCCCUUUCGCUGCUCCAACAUCGCCACCGACGUCGGCAAGCCUAGGGUCAGAAAUCAACGGUUUUCCCUUUCUCUCCUCCACUUUCCUGUCGCAUGCCCAGGGUCAAAAAUCGACAGCUUCAUCUCCGAAGUCUUCCUCACUACAUGGUUCAACGGCAAAGUUCUGGAGGGCCAAACAUCUUGGCGAAACGCUGCGUUUGAGCAAAUGCCAGGGCUGAGAAAAUGGGCUCCUUCGGUCAGUUCAUGGCCGUGAUUUAUUAGGCACAAACAGAUUUUAUGAAAGAAGGGUGAAAAUCCUACAUACAUUAGCAACUGGAACAACAUGCAUAUGCAUACGGAUAAGGGCAUUUCGAUCAAUGAGGCUGCUGAAAUUAAAGAGAUUAUUUGAGGAGGUGGAAGGAUUUGGGUUGUUGUUUUGGACAGAGGACCAUUUGAAGAAGAUGAUUGAUGAGUUUGAGAAGAUCAAGCAACAAUUGGCAGAGUGUUUGGGAAAUCCACGAUAUUAGAUCACAGUCCCUUUCCCACGUGUUGAAGAUCAUGCAAAACUUGGAAUUACAAAAGGCAUAGUAUACAUGUAUUUUUUUUAGUCGAACCUAGUCUUAGAGUGGGGAAAUAAUUGCUUCAGAACUUGGGUUUACCAAGGGCAAGAAUAUAUGGAGCUUGGCCUCCAGUCUUGAGUGGAGAGUUCUUCACUCGUUUAUUUCUACUAUUUUUGGAUAUGUUAUGUGUAUUUGAACAACUAGUAUGCUCUUGUGUACUUUUGAAUGAGAGAAACUUUGCUUCAUGUCA